GAUGAACGCUAGCGGCAGGCUUAAUACAUGCAAGUCGUGGGGCAGCGCAGUGUAGCAAUACAUGGGCGGCGACCGGCAAACGGGUGCGGAACACGUACACAACCUUCCGAGAAGUGGGGAAUAGCCCAGAGAAAUUUGGAUUAAUACCCCGUAACAUAACGAUGUGGCAUCACAUUGUUAUUAUAGCUUCGGCGCUUCUUGAUGGGUGUGCGGCUGAUUAGAUAGUUGGCGGGUAACGGCCCACCAAGUCUACGAUCAGUAGCUGAUGUGAGAGCAUGAUCAGCCACACGGGCACUGAGACACGGGCCCGACUCCUACGGGAGGCAGCAGUAAGGAAUAUUGGUCAAAUGGACGCAAGUCUGAACCAGCCAUGCCGCGUGAAGGAUUAAGGUCCUCUGGAUUGUAAACUUCUUUUAUCUGGGACGAAAAAAAGGCGAUUCUUCGUCACUUGACGGUACCAGAUGAAUAAGCACCGGCUAACUCCGUGCCAGCA
rnacentral:rRNA from 1 species